GACAGAUUGUGAGCUGAUCCUCUGAAGUUAACCUGCUCCAGAGCGGGUUAGCUGUUCAGCAUAAGUUGCCAUGAUGAUGUACCCCGGUAAGAAGAGAAACACCAUGGUAACCCUGAAAACCAGAGUUAAACCUGAAGUUACCUCACUAACCCCAAUUCCUGCUUCAUAUUACAGGCCUCUGUGGCCCAUCAGUAUUGUGUCUGUCCUUGGACCAGUGGCAGAGCAGGCAUCCUAAUCUCAGGGCCAGCUAAGUGAUAAUAAGGGUGCUUGCAUCACUUUGAUCAGCAUAUUUAACAGAUUCAGGAG